UAUUAGAAAAGUUGGUCAAUGGAAAACGCUUUCCAGUCAAAGAAAGAUUUAGCUUGAUUUUCAGGAAAGCGUUUCCUUGAAAAAUUUGGGCGGAAAACACUUACCAGAAGUUGUAAAAAAUUUAGAAAUGUCAUUAUUUGCUGAUUAUAUCAAA